AUUGAACGCUGGCGGCAUGCUUUACACAUGCAAGUCGAACGGUAACAGGCCUUCGGGUGCUGACGAGUGGCGCACGGGUGAGUAAUGCAUCGGAACGUACCCAGAGGUGGGGGAUAACGCAGCGAAAGCUGUGCUAAUACCGCAUGUGAUCUGAGGAUGAAAGCGGGGGACCGAGCAGCAAUGUUUGGCCUCGCGCCUUUGGAGCGGCCGAUGUCGGAUUAGCUAGUUGGUGGGGUAAAGGCCUACCAAGGCGACGAUCCGUAGCUGGUCUGAGAGGACGACCAGCCACACUGGGACUGAGACACGGCCCAGACUCCUACGGGAGGCAGCAGUGGGGAAUUUUGGACAAUGGGCGCAAGCCUGAUCCAGCAAUGCCGCGUGCGGGAAGAAGGCCUUCGGGUUGUAAACCGCGUUUGGCAGGAACGAAACGGUGUCCGCUAAUACCGGGCGCUAAUGACGGUACCUGCAGAAUAAGCACCGGCUAACUACGU
rnacentral:rRNA from 1 species